rnacentral:rRNA from 1 species
CGGAGGGUGCAAGCGUUAAUCGGAAUAACUGGGUGUAAAGGGCGUGUAGCCGGGAAGGCAAGUCAGAUGUGAAAUCUGGAGGCUCAACCUCCAAACUGCAUUUGAAACUGCUUUUCUUGAGUAUCGGAGAGGUAAUCGGAAUUCCUUGUGUAGCGGUGAAAUGCGUAGAUAUAAGGAAGAACACCAGUGGCGAAGGCGGAUUACUGGACGACAACUGACGGUGAGGCGCGAAAGCGUGGGGAGCAAACAG